GGCUGGUCCGAAGGUAAUGAGUUAUCUCAAUUGAUUGUUUACAGUCCAUUAGGGAUCGAACUCCUUGUUCUACUCUUUCCCCUCUUCUCACUGCUUCACUUGACUAGUCUUUA
ensembl:Y_RNA Y_RNA Y RNA